AUAGAUCCCCUGCACAUGGAUAGUGGACUAAGGGAUGGUAUCCCGGGAGAUCCUUCAGAUAAAUACAUAUGACGGAGUACGGAACGGUAUCCUGAGAGAUCCUCGGACAGUUGAUGAAAUGGACUACAGGACGAUAUCUUAGGAGAUCCUCCUUGUUGGUACUGAUACUGAGUUGUUUACUCUGCGUUACCUUAUCUACUAU
rnacentral:lncRNA from 1 species